GAGCAGCGAACGGGUGAGUAACGCGUGGGGAAUCUGCCUUUGAGCGGGGGACAACAUUUGGAAACGAAUGCUAAUACCGCAUAAAAACUUUAAACACAAGUUUUAAGUUUGAAAGAUGCAAUUGCAUCACUCAAAGAUGAUCCCGCGUUGUAUUAGCUAGUUGGUGAGGUAAAGGCUCACCAAGGCGAUGAUACAUAGCCGACCUGAGAGGGUGAUCGGCCACAUUGGGACUGAGACACGGCCCAAACUCCUACGGGAGGCAGCAGUAGGGAAUCUUCGGCAAUGGACGAAAGUCUGACCGAGCAACGCCGCGUGAGUGAAGAAGGUUUUCGGAUCGUAAAACUCUGUUGGUAGAGAAGAACGUUGGUGAGAGUGGAAAGCUCAUCAAGUGACGGUAACUACCCAGAAAGGGACGGCUAACUACGUGCCAGCAGCCGCGGUAAUACGUAGGUCCCGAGCGUUGUCCGGAUUUAUUGGGCGUAAAGCGAGCGCAGGUGGUUUAUUAAGUCUGGUGUAAAAGGCAGUGGCUCAACCAUUGUAUGCAUUGGAAACUGGUAGACU
rnacentral:rRNA from 1 species